CUAUGAAACAUCACACCUGCUUGUCCAAGCCUGAUCUCGUCAGAUCUCAGAAAAUAAGCAAGGCUGGGCCUGGUUAGUAGGUGGAGAGGAGACUGCUGGGAAUACCAGGUGCCACAGU
rnacentral:rRNA from 1 species